AACAUCGCGCACCUGCGGGAACCUGCGGAAGGAUCAUUACUGAGUCACGUGCUCAAACAACCCUUCUGUGGACCUGAAAUAAAACCGUUGCCUCGGCGGGCGGUCCCCCCAAACCAACCCCACGUGGUGGGUUAGGGGAGACCAGACAGUCCGGUACGCUUAAGGCGUCCGGCGCCAGCCGCUGGCCCCAAACAAUUAAACUCUAGUAAUCUUUACCUUCUGAGUUUCAAUAUUUAAAAA
rnacentral:misc_RNA from 1 species